UCCAAAUUAAGAAAUGAAAUAAAAACCGCAACCGGACUUUUGGCUACAUUUGUCUAAAAUAAAAAAGUAAAUAUAUAUAAAAAAAAGUGUUGCUAAAAACAAGCAAUGGGUGAGGGUGCCUGUAGAGAACUAAACAAAUUCUAAAUUUUAUAUUGUUGUUGGGUAACAGUAAUAACAUUUUAUACGACCAACGACGAAAGCUUGCUAAUUUUCUUGUUGUGCAUUUCGCCUUAAAGGCCUUGAAGGCUCGUUAGAUAAAGAAGAAUAAUAUAAAUCCUCUGGAAUUAUGGACCAUCGUUAACAAAUAGAUGUCAAUUUGUUUUUGGAGCAAGGUCCGAGGAUGUAGAGAUCCUUGUGUUUGCUCAUACACUUGAAUCGCGAACUCUGAACGUUGGUAUAUCGGAAUCGCUAUAUUAUAUUAGGCAUUGAGGCUGCCAUUAAUUUAUUUUCAUUUUAUGCUUCGACCCUGACAGGUCUGCUGUAUAUACAACAUGACACAAAAUAAUGAAUGGAUCGAUUCAACGAAUUUAUAAAAAUAUCGAAAUGAAGCAUUUUUGAACGGGGUGCAAGGUCCGAGGAUAUCAUAUCCUUGUGUUUGCCUCCGAGUAGUAGUAGUGGAGUAACAACGAAGAAAAACAAACAAAACAAGGUCCUUCUACUAGGAAACUUCCAAGCCGACUAACAUUUGAACA
rnacentral:sRNA from 1 species